AUGUCUACAACCCCAACUUACAAGUUGUCCAGGAUAUGAUGAGGCAGCAAGUAGAAUUUACACAGCAGUUCUGUGAAUCACAGAAAUACCUUUACCAUACUCUCACAGACAGUAUUCAACCAUCCUAUGUAUACACCACGCUGAAAGACACCAAAGAGUACAUCAGAAAACAUCGGAAACCAAAGCUAACUUUGAAAAAAGCCUUGAAACUGGUUGAAUUAGAAGCACAGCUUCAGUGAUUAAGUAUGUCCAUGUUACUGGUCAGUACGCAGUUUAUCCGUCCACUAUCACCAGUGUCCACUUUGGCUCAGCCUCUGUCCUCUUUGCAGUUACUGUUGCUGUUAUCAUUGUUGUUCUCAGGAUUUUUAUUUCAAAGACACGACAUGGUUGUGAAUGAAAAAGAAUAAAAGAAAA
rnacentral:lncRNA from 1 species